UGGCAGUGAAAUAUUUGUGAAGGAGGGCCAAGUGUGCCUUAUUCGAGAAGAAUUUUGGAGUCUUGGAUUGCUAAGGGACAUGGACUCCCAUGGCAAGGACAUAUACAUUAAGGACUUUUUUGUUCUCCCUGUGUGGAAAACAACUCCUAACAACAUUGUUACUGGAUUACCGGAAAAUUGCUUACCAAGUUGAUCAUGGGACAUGGACUGAAAAGACUGGAUAUGAUUUUCCACCUUUGCCACGUCAGACAAGAGGGAAUGAUUGUGGUGUUUUUGUACUCAUGUACACCCUCUCAAUGGUGUGUGGCAUUGGGUUUCAAUUCGAGGAGAUGGAUAUGCCUGUCAUUCGUCAGUGGUGGUGUCUUCUCAUGGAACGAUUUCAGAUUGAUGGGUAUGUCA
rnacentral:lncRNA from 1 species